AACUUUCAGCAACGGAUCUCUUGGCUCUCGCAUCGAUGAAGAACGCAGCAAAAUGCGAUAAGUAAUGUGAAUUGCAGAAUUCAGUGAAUCAUCGAAUCUUUGAACGCACCUUGCGCUCCUUGGUAUUCCGAGGAGCAUGCCUGUUUGAGUGUCA
rnacentral:rRNA from 1 species